GUUGCUGUUCUGUUGUGGUCUCUGUAUGUAUUCAGAUAGUACUCUUGACCUUGGCCAAGAUGCAAUGUGAACCUCCUUUGUUUCUCGGAGUUCACUGUGCUAAAUUUUUAUAGCAAAUGUUCAAGACAGUUUACCGGGAUUAUGUGCAAGUUUUUCACCAAACAAUUAUGCACAUCUGCUAUGGAUUUGUCUUUUUUAUGCUAUGUGAAAAUGACUGCUACUCCACGGUUGUCACUAAAAAGACAUGAUAAAAGUUAUGUCUGAAGCUGUGGAUGUUCUGACAAUAUUUCAAAAUAUAUUUGAGGUUUCUUAAUGAUAUAUUCGUAUAUUCAGAAAAGUAAUAGGGUUUGUGUGUCAUUUUUUUGUACAUUUGGCUCUCAGCUAUGUUAGUUGAAGACUGUUACUAAAUGCUCGGUCUGCAAUACGUUUAAUAUUUGGUAGUAAGAGAUGAACUGUAGCCAACAAUACAUGAUGUGUUUUUGUGCGCACACACCUGUUUUUUUUUUGAUGCAGAGGGUCACCAUGCAUCUUCCACAUGAAUUCUAUACAGAUCACCGCAGUUCUCCUAGAGCUUGGGAAGUCCCUGAGGCUGGCAGCAAAAGGUUGUGGCUACUGCAGGGCUUUUCUGUGUUCUGGGGUUCUGAGGCAGCUGAGGAGCCAGCAGUUAGUCCUGGUUGAAGGAAUGCUAUCAGUGACCCCUCUCUCAAUCCAAAAUAAAACACUGUUAAGGUGGAAGAGCCUACGCAAGGAAUGACAUAGUCUGCUGUUACACUAGCUGGUGUGGAUGCAUAAUAGGAUCCAUUACCUUAUUUCAGGCAAUUAAUCAUUUGCAGUAACUCUGGUUGGUGCACACUACCAGUCACCUGACAAGAAAGCGAUUGCAUAGCCCUCUUCAGACUACAACUGUAUUCAGCCCUGAAAGUACUAUUUUGACCUUGGCUUCCUCUUUCCCAACUGGAUUCAGAACAGCACAGAGUUUUAUUUUAGCAAUGGUAAGCUCAGGACUGAUUAUAUUCCCUUCUGGUGCUAGUGAGAAAGCCUUACUAUGACCACUUGAAGCAUUAGUUUCAGAAAGACUCUGACUAAAAUUCAUUCUCUCUGGUGGAAGCCCUUCAGCUCCAUCCUGACAAACCAGCAGUAUGGACGUGCUGCAGGUGUGCCAGAGACUUACAUGCUCAAAAGCUCUUGCAGAAAUUCCACACUGAGGCCCAUCCUGUCUGUUCCAGAUGAGUGCCUGGAUUUCUCAACCUUGCAGGCGGUGCACACAGCCUGCAAGUUCCAACUCAAGGAAGAGCAGAACUUGCUAUGUACUCGUGUGCUUGAGUGACAUCGAGGGGACAGGGCAGCCCCAGCAGGGCCUGGGCACAUGGCCUGCAGGUGAGCUUCCAGUGCUCAGGGAGAAAGUCAGGUGGAGGACAGCAACACCUCGGCUGCUUUCAGAGCAGCACAGACCUGGCUAACGUGCCAGGCUGCUAAUUGCCUGAGAGAAGGCUCUAUGGCACUGUACGUCAAUAGUUCAUGAAAAACCCUGCCUUUUGUGAAGGCAGAAAGCAGACGAAGCAAAUCCACUGAAUUUUACACAGGUCUACCACAAGCACAUGGCGUAGCCAUGGAAAAAUUGGGUUGCAAGAUCUCAGCAAUUUUCAUUUGUAGUCUCUAGUUCAGCAUACUGCAAGGUUGGACUUCAGGUCGUGAUGACACCUCAUGUAAGUGUAAAGUGUAUUGGUUUUAAUGAGCUAUUAUCCUCCAUUCUGGUUGUAACUGUGUAGGUCUCAAAUAAUGCAGUGUGCCAAAUAAUUUGUUUCAUCUGAAAAUUAAAUGAGAAUUUUAAACAUCUGAGAAAGGUAAUAGACUGUGUAUAUUUUUGUGGUGAUUUUUUGCACAUCUUUAUAAUUCAGACAUAAAUGAGGAUGACUCUGUGGCACAUAACUGUAACAAGUGCCUUUAACUACGUUAUGAAAUGUCUCCAUGGCAACAUCCUUUUGCUCAUCGUAUUUAUAGUGAGAAAAAGAAAACAAGCAAAAAUAAUACUAACCCUGAAACCUUUCUGAAAUCUAAGGGUUGAAAGGUAUCUGAAGUCAAGAUUCUGAUCCUUAGAUCACGUUACCAGAGAAAUAAGAACUAGAGGUAAAGGCAGAAUGUUCCUUUCGAUUUUAGCUUUAUAUGAAAAUACCAAGACACUGUGACCAAUUACAACUUGUUUUUAACAGAAGAAAGUUAGAAAAAGGAUGGUGUGUUUGCUGGCUCAUCGUAGAGCUGACCAUGCUGAGUCAGACACACAGGCAUAGCCCCAGAGAGCCAGAGGAGAAACCCCUCUGGAAAUACCCCUUCAAACAUCCUCCUUGUACUUUGGUACCAUGUAAACGCGACUCAGAAUGGACUGGAAUCCUCCUUGUCGGGGCUUUACGGAGCUGCAGUGUUUUACCUGUUCUCUUGCUACCUUCGUUCUGUAAAGUCUUUUGAAAUCUUCAAAAUGCUCGGGUAAAUUGGGAAAAAUAAUUGUGAAAAGGGUGUGUAAGGAUAUCCACACUGAAGAACGGCACUGUAAGUGCUCCUCUCAGUUUAUCCACAGCUGAAGAAUCUUCUAAAUAAUGAUUCAGAACAACAUUUGAUUCCUGGCUCUAAUAUCUGUUCUUGCAUCCCUACCCAUUCCCCUACAGUCUCCACAGCCCUGUUUUAUAGGAACAUUUGAUGAUUGAAUCUGAAAGAUGAGCCCAAUCUCAGCGAAAGGUUCAGCUACAGCUCAAGGCAACAGCAGUGUCUCAGGCCACCAAAAAUGGGCAGAUUCUUAGAUAAUUCACCACCUACAAAUUCCUUGCAGCUGUGGCAAACUGUGUGGAUGAUCUGGAUGUCUAAGCAGUCAUUUUUACUUAGGUAUGAAUACAAGGUCUAGAAUUCAUCUAAUUAUUUUAGGAAUUAUUUGACUUACUUCACUCCAGUUCAUUCCCAUUCAUCUAACUAUUUCAGAACAAGUUCCUUGUUUAUGUUCAAUAUAAAUAGGGAAGGAAACCAAGGGAAAAUAAAAGGAUUCUGAAUUAAAACCAGAAAGUAUUUUUAAUCCUUCGUGAAUUAUUCAUUAAUACUUCCCACAAAACACCUCCUGCAUUCUCCAAAUGUUCUAUAAAGUGCUGCCAUUUUAGGUAGAUAAAGGCAGGAUAAAAUAACUGCAUUAAGCAAAACUCCUUUUUUCUCACAAAAAAACUACUAUAUAGUGACUUUUCACCCAUUGUCUUCUGCAGUGGAAAUAAAUCCUUUAACUGCCAAGAGAGAAAAUGCUGUAAACUGGGAUCUGUACAGGAGCUUGAGCAGUGGGACAGAUUUAAGGGCCCUUGUGUGCAUGUAUGCGAAGGACUAGAGAAUAGAAGUUCGUUCUCAAUCACUUCUUUGUGAUCCUGUUCAUAGAGAAACAAAUGUGGUACUGAUACCAAAGCAAAUAGAUGUUCAAUCCUUACAUUGUGUCCAUCAGUGUUCUGCCCACAGCAACAUGAGUGAAGUGGAACAGGGAAGAGUUCGAAGGUGAGGCCAUAAGACCUGGCUGGAGUGAUGACAUCUACAUCUGCCAGACAGAAGUCUAAAAUUUGUCAGAGAUGGAAUUUGCUAGACAUUAAGUUUAAAAGCGGACAGUGAACUUGUUCAAGUUUGGCUUCCUUUCUUACUCUUAAAGAUAUUUUCUUUAUAAAAUCAGGUGCUCUGAUAGAGCAGGUUUUUCGAUCGUUCCCCAAAAGUCUUUUCAGAAUGGAACAUUUUUUUCAACAUGUUAAACUUCCUGAACCAUCUUAAUUCUUUAUUGUUACUCCAAACCCAGCACAACAGCUUCCUGAUCUGUGCACUUAAUCUAGUAAGUUACGAUGAUCCCACUGUGGCACUCACUUGGAGCAAAAUGUUUUCUGCUUGCACAUAUAACCCAAAUCUUACACUGCAAAGCUGUGUUAAGUAGGAACAGCACAUCAAUAUUCUCUGCCUUUAGACUUUGCUGCUGCUUCAGAAUUAAAUGCACAGAGUGCAGAUGGUGAUGAGGAAGUCGUCGUGCCCAUCAUUUAGGUCAUGGGAGGAAACAGGCAGCCAAUGCAGUGAGCAGGAGGCAAGGUCUGUACUGGUUUGUUUUGGAAAUAAUGAGCAGCACUUACCAAAUCUGUCUGUGCAGGGGAACAUGCAGCAACCUUGAUCAGCAAUCAGAACUGUCUCAGGUAUUCAGAAGGGAUGGCCUUACAUAAGGAACAUUGAGCGUAAACCAACACCCUCCUUUAAUACUAAUAUUUCCCAGACCAGGGCUCUCACACACCAGUACAGUCCUUGCUGAGGGUAGGUUGCCCUUGACUACUAAAACCUGAAACCUUGAGCUGCCUAAUACAAGACACGAGAAAGAGGAAGAGGAAGAGAGAAAGCUUUUUUGUUCUGAGUAUGUUCUUGGCUAUGCAGAAAGUGCAUAUUUUGCCAUUUUGAUGCCCCGAGUGAUCAGCAAAGCUUAAUUGUUUGCUUAAGCAGCCUUUGGAGCUGUCAGAGCAAGCAAAGCUAUAAAUUGGCAGGGCUGGCCAAUGCAGUUGAGCAGCAAAAAGACUUUCAAAGAGAUGAUUUUGCUCCCAAGUGCUUAUUGUCAGCUCUUUGAGUUAAACAGAUCUUAACAACCCAAACAAAAACUCCACAGGGGAGCCUUUUACAAACAAAGGAGCCAUGCUCCAGCUACAUCAAAGCUUCCAGGCCUUUCUAACCUCCGGGGGCAGCUUGUUUCAUCUGUGGCCCCUAACGCCAUGCUAACGUCAGUCUUCCCGCCUACCAGCGAACCGUUUUUCUGGAGUUUCCUGAUCGAGCUUGAAGCUGACUUCAUUUAAGGAACAGCCUUGCUUUAGGCAGAGCACAGCCACCCCUCUGACAGAGCCCCGCUGCCCCAUGGAAGGUCUGUGAGCGCCGUGCUGUGGAGGUGCUGGGCUGGCCGUGCUGGCCCAGCUGUCUUCUGGGCAGGCUGGAGAGUCGUGGGGCAGCUCUGAAGAUAAGAUGAUGCCAUUUAUUUUUGUCUUUUCUCAUUUCCGUUUCUGUACCUCAGCCCAGUGUAAAUAAGAGAUAGUAAUAAGAGAUUGAAAUUUCUAAAAUGUUCGUGCCAGUGAAAUUCCAAGCAGGUUUAAGAAGAGCGUUACUUUUAGCGUGUUUUUUGGUGUGGUUUUGUUCAGAAUAUGGCAACAUUAAAAUUGCAGCGACAAGGGUGAUGUUCAGGUAGCUGUGAAGAACUACAACAGCUUAUCAGGAAUAAAAUUGUAAAUAUUCAUAAAAAUUGUUAAUAGCCCCACAAAGGAUUUAAAGAAUGUGUUUUUUUCGUGCAAUUGUUAAGAGACAUGUCCAGGGCAUUUCAUGCCCCAUACUCUUCAUGGUCUGAUAACAUCACUGCUCUUUAGUCCUCUUACCUAUAUGGCCUUUUCAGACAACAUUUUGCUGCCUGGAAUAAACUGAGAAGCUGUGAAGACCUUUCCUUGGUCUUCUCAUCUCAGUACCUUCCGUUUUCAUAAGCCAAAUGGGUGAUUGUGUAAUCUUAACAGUAGUACAGACUUAAAAAUAUCUUUUCACCCAGGAUCAUCCUGCUUUUCAUUGUGACUGUGUAGGCUGAAGAAUUCUGCCUUUGACAUUGUAUGUAAAGGAUUUAUUUCUGUCAUCCACCGGAACAUGCCAUACAUACUGAUUCCUCCUGAAACCUCCAUGGCUGGUUACAUUUUUAACAAUGUCUUACAGACUGCAAAGUAUCUGACAUGUCAACCAAAUGCUUAUUGUAUUAAAUGAAAAAUUAUUUUUGAUCCUGUCACAUCUAAAAUAAGUUGAAGGUGCAGGCUCCAGAUUCUUCCAAGUACUGCAUUUUCAUUCCCUUUGUCCCACUACCAAGUGUUUGGUCCAGUUGUCAGAUGGAGGCAGAGGGGAGUGAGCACAAGAGCAAAUGUUGCUUUUUUUCUGCUGGAUAAAGUCUUCUUUAAUUGUGUGGAAAUGGACAGUUGUCACAGUUCGGAGAAAUAGAUUUCAGUGGGGCAAAUGACAUCAAGGAAAAGUGUAAGCUUCCUGUGAUGGCGACUGCAGAGUGGCACAGGAAGGAUGCAGUCACUCCUGCGCCCUCAGCACAGAGCCUCGCUCGGCUUCUCUUCCCGAUUUCCCGGCGCUGCCAGAGGGCCGGGCGGCAGCAUUCCUGCCCCAGGCACAGCAAGGCCACUUCUCCCAUCCUCACCCCUCUGGUGCAUUUGGUGGAAAUGAGACUGGCUUGUUGUAAGCUCAUUUCAUUUUUACAAUUUUGCUCUUUGUCUGACAGGGCAGUAUCGUAAUUUAAGAGGAAUUUUAAUUAUUACAGAAUAUUCCUCUAGCUUAUAUGUUUUUGUACUCUUUUUGGCUUUUGGGUUGUUUUUUGUUUCUUUUUGUUUGUUGAUGUGUUCGUAAUAAAGAAUGAAUUGCUGUGACUCUGAAGUGAAGACUUUACAUCCAGUUCCAGCUUCCAGUGCAUAUUGUUUGUGCUCCCAGCAAUUUUGCUCCCAGCCUAACUCAUCUCUGCUGGAAUACCAGAUGUGGGCAUGUUAAAUUUAGGAUAUCUGUAAAGCUUUGUGUGCCUUUCGGUAGGUAGUGCAUGGUUUCAAGUGCCAAUAAAGUGUUUUCCAGCUGGCCAUUGGAAAUUCCACUGUCACCGAUAAAGCUGAAGCAGACUUCUAACUUGAAGAGAAGUCACGUUGUGAAGAGAACUCACAGAAGAGUGUCAGAGGCAGAAACAGGUUUAGGUGGGUUUGAGAGGUGCCAGAGGUCCAGAAUUUUAUGCUCACCAACUCAUCCCAUUUGCUUCAGUUUCACUGUGCUGUAAAGCCACAGGAACUCCAUGGUUACAGCUGGGGUUUGACCACUACAAAUUUUUCACUGAAUGGAUUACAUCUUUGGCUUUAAAGUUCAUACAUUCUAAAUCUGAAGCAGUUAGGAGAGAAGUUUCCCUGCUGCCAGAAUGGCAGUUGUUGAAUUAUAAAUGCAUACCCCAUCUUCUAGAAAGAGCAGACUUGAAAAUCUGGCACUAAAUAAUCUGAUUUCCAUGAAAGAUAGCAGGGGAGAGUGUUCAUGUUUUAGCUUUGUUUCUGUGAAGAGGGAUGUAACAAAAUACCUGGGAAAGCUGCAGUGAUUACAGUACCGUAAUUCUAUAGAAAAUAUGUUCUAUGCUAUUAAUGAAAUCCAUUUUUUCUUGCAGCAUUGAUGUCUCUCAUUGUCUGAUGAAGGAUACUUGCCUCUUUCAGUGCCGAGGGUAAACAGUCUCAUAAAAACCUGCCCAGCACCUUCUGAGAUCACCUCCUCCAAGCUCGAGAGUGGUCCGUCUUGAUGAGCAGGAAAGUGUGGAAAAGCCGUGGGAGGCCUGUAUGGGUGAAGGAUCUCUUGACUGACCUUGGCCAUAAAGUAAAUGCAUGCGAGACAUGGAGGCAGAGAUUUUUUAAGUACUAAGGAGCGCUGUAAUGCAACUGCAGUGGAAGAAUGCAAAGCAAGAGCUCAAGGAAUGUGAGCAUGGUCAAUUCAUGUUUUAUUCAUAUGAAUCACAGUGUUUUUCUAUGGAAUUAUUAAACUACAGAACUGCAGUACCUAUGCUGAAGCACAGCCCUUGAUUCUGAGUGGAUUUUGAGUUUUACACCUAGAUUUAGCUCUUCUGAAAAGUGAAAGUAAUUUUUUUUUUUUAAUACAAUGAAAAUGUGCAGUUAACAUAGAAAAUCACAAUUUGAAGAGUGACUGUAAGCAAGACAUGCUCAAAACCUGUUGGCAUUCCUAACAAUGAUGCAGCAAAGUGGAAAUACGCUGCAAAGGGAGAGGACACGAACAGAAAUACUUUAAACAACAAAAUGUGCUGUACAGCAGCCUGAAGGAAUGCCAGCCAUCAUGGCUCCUCGUGGGAUCCAGGUCUACCAGGGGUUGCUGUUACAAGGACGACUGUGACAACUUUCUGCUCUUGUUGUUCAAGGACGUGCAAUCUCAAGGACUGGUGCUCACUUCAGUUCCCAAAAAGUACUGUGCAGCCUUUACUGUUAUGGGAACUUCUGGUCACUUACACCAAACU